GAUUUUCUUAAAUUGUGUGCAGAUUUUUACAGACUUUAGCCUGCGCGAGCUAAAUUUUUUCGGAUCACGGAUAGAAUUUUUUCAGAUUUCGAGCAAUUUUUUCCGGUUUUUCGAGCAGUUUCAGACAUUUUUCAAAAACAUCUGGCAUCUCUGCAUCGAUCACAUUAGGUUAGUACGCAGUCUCUGGUACGCAGCUAAGAUUCUGACGUUUGUAGAACUCCACCUUUCUCUCCAGCAGGCUUGCGAAGCGAGCUCUCAAGUGUAUAACACACAUACUCAAGUUCGUUACGCGAGAUAAUAAAGCGUCAAAAAAGACUAAUUAUUACGUAUGCUACCUUCGGGAAUUACGUAGUUCUUGUUUACCAAAAAAGUACAAACCCAAAACUGUUCCAGUUAGACUUCUAUGGAAUCCUUACAGAACGGUUGUAGGCUAUGCCUGGACCCAAUCGGUGACAGUAUGCAUUCUAUUGAAAAUCUUGAAAUUAAAAAACAUAUCGAUUAUGUGUUUAAAUUCCCAAUUAAUAUCAUAAUAGGAUAUUCUACCAGUAUCUGCAAGAACUGUUCUCAGCAAAUCUCCGAUUUUUAUGACUAUUCAGAAAAAGUUCGUCUUAAUCAGGAGAAACUUACUGAACGGAUAGCUGAUUCAAAACCUCUUUUAGAAACAUUUAAAGUAGAGCUGAUUGACAAAGAUGAUCCAUGCGGGGAAGAUUUUGAUAGGAUAGAACCUAAGGACGAACCUACAGAAGAAGAUAGUGAUAUUAGUGAUGGAGAAAUUUUCGCAGAAUCAUACAAACCACCAGUGGUACGACCAAGAAAGAAGCGUAAAAAAGAAGAACGGCCGAGACGAAAACGAGGUGAAAAACCGGCGGUGAUUGAGGAGGAUUUUAGAAAACGAGAUAACAUAAAGUCCAAGGAGCAACUAGAACAAGAAGAUAAAUUGAUAAAUGAGUUUUAUCCCAUGGUUUGCGAAUUAUGCGGAGAAACAGCUCAAAAUUUCGUGUCUUUGGCUGCUCAUUUCAGGAAAAUACAUGGACGAACGGGCUAUAUAAGAUGCUGCAAGCGAAAACUUCCUAAACGAUAUCAUCUGUUACAACAUAUAACGUUGCAUCGCAAUCCAAACGCUUUUCGGUGUGAGUUGUGUAAUAAAAACUAUAAGCACAAAAUGUAUCUUCUCUUACAUCAAGCGAAAGCUCAUGGUAACGAAGAAGAUCGCCCGUUCAAGUGUGACCGAUGCAAACAGUCGUACGCCAAAGAAUACAUGCUCCGGAACCACAUGAUUAGCCACGAAAAAGUUCAGUGUCCACAGUGUGAUAAGUUGCUAGCCAAUAAGGCUGCAUUGAGUACUCACCUGGUUAACAAGCAUAGCGAUUUAGAUCGAAGAAUGAUCUGUGAUACUUGUGGUCAAGAAUUUUUGAAUAAGGCUUGCUUCGAGCGACACGUCAAACGGCACAUGGGCGUUGAAGAAGUCGAACGGAAGUACCAAUGUCACAUCUGCCAGAAAUGGUUAAUGGGUGAGCGAGGUUUGCAAAAACAUUUACAGUUUACACAUUACGAGCGGGAUCAGACGCAUAUCUGUGACAUUUGCAAUCAGCAAUAUCCAAACUCAAGAGCUCUGUGGAGUCACAAACGGACUGUCCACAUCGAAGAGAAAUUUGAAUGCGAGUUUUGUGGGAAAAAAUUCAAACGGGCUAUUAAUUUGAAGGAGCAUCGAACUACACACACAGGAGAGGUGCUAUAUUCGUGUGACAUUUGCGGUGCAGCAAUGAAUUCCAAUGCCAACCUUUACACGCACACGAAAAAAAGUCACCCAGCAGAAUGGGCUGAAAAGAGGAAAAAAGCGGCCGAAGCAAACCAACCCAAGAAACAAUAGUAAUAUCACAGACAAACAGACGUACCACUCCGUACAAAACUGUAAGAAAAUUAUACUCCGCAAGAGAUAAAUUUUCAGCCUUUCUGGUGUUUGGCAGCACGGCGCGCGACAACUGUCCCAACUGUCAACUUAAGUUCAAAGGGAAAAAGUACAUUAGCGCCACCACCGCUGCGACGGGAAUAUUUCGCAAAACUGAAACUCCACGAAAAUAAUUUUGUGGUACGUCUGUUUGUCUGUGUUUAUACUUUAUGAAGUAACGAAAUUAUAAGUUUUUCAACCGAUUUUUUAAAAGUUAA